rnacentral:rRNA from 1 species
UACGUAGGGUGCGAGCGUUGUCCGGAAUUACUGGGCGUAAAGAGCUCGUAGGUGGUUUGUCGCGUUGUUCGUGAAAACUCGCAGCUCAACUGUGGGCGUGCGGGCGAUACGGGCAGACUGGAGUACUGCAGGGGAGACUGGAAUUCCUGGUGUAGCGGUGAAAUGCGCAGAUAUCAGGAGGAACACCUGCGGCGAAGGCGGGUAGCUGGGCCGACACUGACGCUGAUGCGCGAAAGCGUGGGGAGCAAACAGG